rnacentral:lncRNA from 1 species
ACCAUGGCGAUUUGUAAGUAAUUCAUUGUACUUUAGUACCGAACUAUCUGAGUUUCUAACUUAGUGACAGAAGGAUACUAGGUACAGUCAAGUACUUAUCAAAUCAGUAUGUGAGUCAAGAUGGAAUUGACCUCUUUGAAUUGGUAGGAGAUAUGCAUCAAUGUAUUUUAAUUUAGCAAAAUCUUAACCAGGAUAAUCCAUGAGAUGGAUUUGAAAGGUUGAAAUAUAAUAUGGUCGACUUAAUUAGGAUUGAUAGUUAAAUCCUAAGUCACCUUAAGCAUUUAGGUCAA